CCUGCUAGAUGACGCUGGCGGCGUGCCUAAUACAUGCAAGUCGAACGAGUUCUGAUUAUUGAAAGGUGCUUGCAUCUUGAUUUAAUUUUGAACGAGUGGCGGACGGGUGAGUAACACGUGGGUAACCUGCCCUUAAGUGGGGGAUAACAUUUGGAAACAGAUGCUAAUACCGCAUAAAUCCAAGAACCGCAUGGUUCUUGGCUGAAAGAUGGCGUAAGCUAUCGCUUUUGGAUGGACCCGCGGCGUAUUAGCUAGUUGGUGAGGUAACGGCUCACCAAGGCAAUGAUACGUAGCCGAACUGAGAGGUUGAUCGGCCACAUUGGGACUGAGACACGGCCCAAACUCCUACGGGAGGCAGCAGUAGGGAAUCUUCCACAAUGGACGCAAGUCUGAUGGAGCAACGCCGCGUGAGUGAAGAAGGCUUUCGGGUCGUAAAACUCUGUUGUUGGAGAAGAAUGGUCGGCAGAGUAACUGUUGUCGGCGUGACGGUAUCCAACCAGAAAGCCACGGCUAACUACGUGCCAGCAGCCGCGGUAAUACGUAGGUGGCAAGCGUUAUCCGGAUUUAUUGGGCGUAAAGCGAGCGCAGGCGGUUUUUUAAGUCUGAUGUGAAAGCCCUCGGCUUAACCGAGGAAGUGCAUCGGAAACUGGGAAACUUGAGUGCAGAAGAGGACAGUGGAACUCCAUGUGUAGCGGUGAAAUGCGUAGAUAUAUGGAAGAACACCAGUGGCGAAGGCGGCUGUCUGGUCUGUAACUGACGCUGAGGCUCGAAAGCAUGGGUAGCGAACAGGAUUAGAUACCCUGGUAGUCCAUGCCGUAAACGAUGAAUGCUAGGUGUUGGAGGGUUUCCGCCCUUCAGUGCCGCAGCUAACGCAUUAAGCAUUCCGCCUGGGGAGUACGACCGCAAGGUUGAAACUCAAAGGAAUUGACGGGGGCCCGCACAAGCGGUGGAGCAUGUGGUUUAAUUUCGAAGCAACGCGAAGAACCUUACCAGGUCUUGACAUCUUUUGAUCACCUGAGAGAUCAGGUUUCCCCUUCGGGGGCAAAAUGACAGGUGGUGCAUGGUUGUCGUCAGCUCGUGUCGUGAGAUGUUGGGUUAAGUCCCGCAACGAGCGCAACCCUUAUGACUAGUUGCCAGCAUUUAGUUGGGCACUCUAGUAAGACUGCCGGUGACAAACCGGAGGAAGGUGGGGAUGACGUCAAAUCAUCAUGCCCCUUAUGACCUGGGCUACACACGUGCUACAAUGGAUGGUACAACGAGUUGCGAGACCGCGAGGUCAAGCUAAUCUCUUAAAGCCAUUCUCAGUUCGGACUGUAGGCUGCAACUCGCCUACACGAAGUCGGAAUCGCUAGUAAUCGCGGAUCAGCACGCCGCGGUGAAUACGUUCCCGGGCCUUGUACACACCGCCCGUCACACCAUGAGAGUUUGUAACACCCGAAGCCGGUGGCGUAACCCUUUUAGGGAGCGAGCCGUCUAAGGUGGGACAAAUGAUUAGGUGAAGUCGACAUUU
rnacentral:rRNA from 2 species